rnacentral:rRNA from 1 species
GGGCCCGCACAAGCGGUGGAGUAUGUGGUUUAAUUCGAUGCAACGCGAAGAACCUUACCAGGGUUUGACAUCCUGCGAAUCUCUUGGAAACGAGAGAGUGCCUUCGGGAACGCAGUGACAGGUGGUGCAUGGCUGUCGUCAGCUCGUGUCGUGAGAUGUUGGGUUAAGUCCCGCAACGAGCGCAACCCACGUCUUUAGUUGCCAGCAUUUAGUUGGGCACUCUAGAGAGACCGCCGGUGAUAAACCGGAGGAAGGUGUGGAUGACGUCAAGGUCAUCAUGCCCCUUACAUCCUGGGCUACACACGUACUACAAUGCUCAGUACAAUGUGAACCGAUACCGCAAGGUGGAGGAAAUCCUUAAAACUGGGCUCAGUUCGGAUUGUGGGCUGCAACUCGCCCACAUGAAGCUGGAAUCGCUAGUAAUGGCACAUC